rnacentral:rRNA from 1 species
UGGGGAAUAUUGCACAAUGGGCGCAAGCCUGAUGCAGCAACGCCGCGUGAACGAUGAAGGUCUUCGGAUCGUAAAGUUCUGUUGCAGGGGAAGAUAAUGACGGUACCCUGUGAGGAAGCCCCGGCUAACUACGUGCCAGCAGCCGCGGUAAUACGUAGGUGGCAAGCGUUGUCCGGAAUUAUUGGGCGUAAAGCGCGCGCAGGUGGUUUAGAAAGUCUGAUGUGAAAGCCCACGGCUCAACCGUGGAGGGUCAUUGGAAACUAAUAGACUUGAGUGCAGGAGAGAAAAGUGGAAUUCCUAGUGUAGCGGUGAAAUGCGUAGAGAUUAGGAGGAACACCGGUGGCGAAAGCGGCUUUUUGGCCUGCAACUGACACUGAGGAGCGAAAGCGUGGGGAGCAAACGGG